rnacentral:rRNA from 4 species
UAAGAGGUCCAGCCUGCCCAGUGACUAAAAUUUAACGGCCGCGGUAUCCUGACCGCGCGAAGGUAGCGUAAUCACUUGUUUUUUAAAUAAAGACUAGUAUGAACGGCAUCACGAGGAUCAAACUGUCUCCUUUCCACAAUCAGUGAAACUAAUCUCCCAGUGAAAAAGCUGGGAUUUUACUACAAGACGAAAAGACCCUAUGGAGCUUUAAACAAGUAACUAACACCUUAGUUAUAAGUUUUAGGUUGGGGUGACCGCGGAGAAAAAUCUAUCCUCCUCAAUGAAUGAGUAUUCUAAACAAAAAGUCACAACUUUAUACAUCAACAAAUUGACUUUCUGAUCCAAUAAUUUGAUCAACGAACUAAGUUACCCUAGGGAUAACAGCGCAAUCUACUUUAAGAGUUCUUAUCGACAAGUGGGCUUACGACCUCGAUGUUGGAUCAGGGUCUCCCAGUGGUGCAGCCGCUACUAAAG